GCACACUUAGAAAAUUUAUCACUAAAGAAGCCAGCUGUUUGACUGAUGAAAUUCGAAACACUUCAAUAAACACCUUAUAUAGUGGGAAAUUAACAGGCCAGACGCAAUGUUCAAGAAUAAAAUAUUUAGAAUUUUGUUAAUACUGGUGUCUGUAUAUGUGGUUGUGUUUUAUUAUAAAGUGUUGCCGGAAUUAUGGGGAAAUCCUUUACGUGUGACAAAAAACAAUUCUGUUUUGGAUAAUGACAUCCCAUAUGACGUAAUAGAUGCCUACUAUCCAAGUAACUAUGGAUCAUGUCAGCAUUCAGUAGUUAGAGAAAACAAGAUAAAUUGUAAAAAGCGUAUUAAGAAUGAAACCAUGAUGACACAAAUUAUACCCGUUAAUGAAAGCAGGAUUUGUAAUUUAACUAAAAUUACAGAAAAUUGUCAAUUAUUUCGCCAUAUUAACGGAUAUGACGAUAAAGUUAUUACAAAACUGGAAGAAGAUUUUCCUUUAGCUUUUGGGAUUCGUCUACAUAAUUCUCCGGAACAAAUAGAACAAAUUUUAAGAAUUAUUUAAUGUCCACAUAAUUUUUAUUGUAUACAUGUUGAUACUGGCAGUGAUAUUCACAUAUUUAAUUCUUUAAAAGCAGUCGCCCGAUGCUUUGAGAAUGUGGUGGUUUUAUCAAAAAUACGAACAUUGUAUUCAUCUAUUAGACUUGUAGAAGCUGAUUUAUUGUGUAUGAAAGAAGCAUUGAAAUCGUCAAUUCAAUGGAAAUAUUUUCUCAACAUGGCAGGGGAAGAAGUGCCGCUUAAAACUAAUCUUGAAAUAGUUCAAAUUUGCCAGUUGCUACAAGGAAGAAAUGAUAUUGAAUCGGAACCAGCAACCCCUUUCACCAUAAACCGAAUAAAGUGGGAAUUUAAUGUCACUGAAUUCCAAAUGAUAAAAACAAAUGUUCUAAAAAAGCCAUUUACAGGAAAUUUUCUACUAAGGAAAGGGUGUGCUUAUGGAACUUUUGCUAGAAAAUUUGUUCAGUUUGUUUUCAAGAACGGCAAAGCAAAUGAUUUGUUCGAGUUUUUAAAAGAUACAUACGCCCCUGAAGAGGCAUUUUUCAAUACGCUAAACACGGUUGAUGGUGCGCCGGGUGGUUAUAAUAUUACCAUUAAACAUUUCAACAGAGAUUUCCUAUCACGCACAGUAUUAUGGAGCUGGGACAAGCCUGUCAAGUGUCCUGGGAAGAUUCGUAGGGCUGUUUGUGUAUUUAACAAUAAGGCACUGCCGUGGCUGGUGAAACAACCCGAGAUGAUCGUCAAUAAAAUGGAUGGGAAUUAUGAUCAAGUGGUUAUAGACUGUAUGGAAGAAUAUCUACGUAAUAGAACAUUGCAAGCUGAUGUUACAGGUUUCAAUAAGACGCGCUAUUUGCAGUAUCCACACAUCAAAGACUUGCGUAAUAAGAACUUAUGGGAAAAGACCUAAUACAGAAAUAUCUCAAAAACAGAAACAAAAUGUACAAUUUUUUUACUUUAAAAGAUGAUCAUAAUCUAAUUAAGCCUACUAUUGUACCAAAUAUAUAAUAUCGCACAUAAAAAAACAGAGUUGUCCAUGGCAAUGCGAAAAAGGUUUAUAAUAUCAGGGCCCCGUUUCUCGAAAUCUUAACUAAAGAUAAAAUCCCAAUUUUAGUAGAUACUUCAAUUUUGAUUGGUUAAGCACUAAAAUCAAUCUAAUAUUAUCCAAUCAAAUUUGUAAAAUUUGGAUUUUAUCUUAAUUAAAAUUUCGUGAUACAGGCCCCAGGCAUAUAAUGGUGGGGGGUAAUAGAAGACAGUGUAAAUUCAAAUUGACUAUGUACAUGUUUACCUCUGGGCAUUUUAUUUGUCAAGCUCCGGAAAGGUUGGGCGUUUGUCAUUAAUCCACCUGUGGAAUUAUAAUUUGAUUGGUGGUGGGACGAAUUUCCAUUCCUGGUAUAUAGAUACAUGUAUUUUAUGCGUCGAUUUUAUUUUAUUAAACAUACAUUACGCAAGAGCUUAAUCUGCCUAUUGCAGGUCUUUCUUUAGGCCAGAAAUGUUAUCUAAAUUAUUAAUUAUACAUUAAUUAAUUUAUCCAGGCCAUAAUCAACUCUAGAUGUCAUCGCUAACCUGCGGUGUUUAUUACAUAAGGUUUUGAUUUGCUGUUCGACUUCCAUUCAUGAUUUAAUCAUGAAAUUGAUAAUCGAGACUAUGUUUUUUAGUAAUGAUGAUCGAGGCUGGGCCGAAAAUUCAAUCGCUGAAACCUCGUUUCAGAGUGGAUCAAUUUGACUGAAAUUUUUAUCAAAUUGCCUUUAUAUUAUCUAGUUUUUUAAAAUUAUUAUAGUGAGAACUGCCAGUUCUUUAUCUAAUCUCCCAUAAUGUAUCUUUAAUAUAUUAAAUAGUUUGGUUCUUUUGGCUGGUUUUCGGGUAAUAUGUCUGAGUCUAUAGAUUAUGUUUCUCCAGAUGUUUUUAACAAUCCAACCCUAUUCUUAUGAUCGAUAUGAUUGUGUUUAUAACCUGGCUGAAAAUCGUUUAUAUUCCAUUGUUGACUUGUUAUUUGUUCACGUGAUAUAGGCUUAUAUGUUCAAGAAAUUAAGUAAUAAAUUGAUCUUUUUAUCAAUAAUGGUAGUGUAACUGGUUUAUUGACAGGUUUUCUGUAAAAAUAAAUGCAUAUUAAAUGAAAGAAGCAAUUCAGAAACACCGACAGGGUUUGUUCAUUGUGAUAAAAAUAUAUUUAAGAUUUUUAUCCUGUACACGUUGCAUACUCAGGGGUAGGGAACGGAAUGUCGCGGACUGCUGAUUACACAUGAACAGUCUGGCCUUUACGAGGUUAAGUGUCAUUGGCAAUAGUGAAUAGAAUUGCGACUGUGGCUCAGUGAGUGAGGCGCUGACUUGCUAACCGAAAUAAGUGGAAUACGUAGUGCGCUGUCUGGACAAAAUUAACCUCAUACCACACCAUAUGGCUUAUGCUCGCAUUCAUUAGCCCAUUUCAAUCAAUCCCAUUAAGUUUUGAGGAACAUCGCAAAUUCGAACAAUCGUUACGCGAUUCCGAAUAUCAAAAGCCCCCCACCCCCUUUUGAAUUUCCAUAGGUCUCCUCGGUAGGAAUAGUUGCACAAUCGCACCAUGUUUGGAAAAAUAUAUCUACAAUUUACAAAAGCAGUACAGUAUGAACCAGAAACUGAGACUAUCGUCAUCGCAACAACCUUGGAGUUGUGACGUCAUAAAAACUCUAAAAGCCGCGGAAAUAGAAUCCUAACUCCAUGGCCUUGCAAAGGAAAGUCGAUUGAAGAGUAGUGCCCCUAAAACAAGACUAUACCAAGGAUUCAACCAGUUGCUGGUUCAAAAAAUCAUUACACUACUGUGAAUCUGAGUAGGGCUCCUCCGAAUGCCAGGUUCCCACUAUCACGAUUCGCGCUUCGAUUGAAAUCGUGGAGUAAUCGUGGUGAUCCUAUGAGAUCUAAUACUAUAUUGUGGUCAGUCGUAAAGAUCGUGUUGAUCGCAUCGAAACGUAUCUGCACGUACCAGAUCGUGGACUCAAUAGAGACAAUCCUAUCGUAACGCAUCGCACGACAGUGGAACCUAGCAUUAGGUGUAAUUAAAUAAUUCGAACUCCAACAAUUAGGGCGCUUACAGUUAUUUUGCCAAGUUUGAAUGAUUAUCGACAGGGUUCUUCCUUAUGACUAGCUGAAUCUGGCUACCUAUAAUAGAGUGCUUGUAAGAAUCUUAACGGACAGACCACAAUAUACUCAAACUCGAAAUGUAGGGUUAAAAAUUAGAAAAUAUUUUUGAUUCAAUAAUUUAUUUUCGGUUUUCCGCAAAUUCGAAAAUUAAGAAGCGAUUUAAUAUUCCUCGCCUUCCUCUUCUCCUUCUCCCUCGACCGAAUCGACACCAACUUCUUCAUAGUCUUUCUCGAGAGCUGCCAAAUCUUCUCGAGCUUCAGAGAAUUCGCCUUCUUCCAUGCCUUCACCAACAUACCAGUGGACGAAAGCUCUCUUUGCGUACAUAAGAUCGAAUUUAUGAUCGAGACGGGCCCAGGCUUCGGCAAUGGCGGUAGUGUUGCUCAACAUGCAAACGGCUCUUUGCACCUUGGCCAAAUCACCUCCUGGCACAACGGUUGGUGGUUGGUAGUUGAUACCAACUUUGAAACCAGUGGGACACCAGUCGACAAAUUGGAUGGUUCUCUUGGUCUUGAUUGUGGCAAUGGCGGCGUUGACAUCCUUAGGCACAA